rnacentral:rRNA from 1 species
AGUGAACGCUGGCGGUAGGCCUAACACAUGCAAGUCGAACGGCAGCACAGUAAGAGCUUGCUCUUACGGGUGGCGAGUGGCGGACGGGUGAGGAAUACAUCGGAAUCUACUUUUUCGUGGGGGAUAACGUAGGGAAACUUACGCUAAUACCGCAUACGACCUACGGGUGAAAGCAGGGGAUCUUCGGACCUUGCGCGAUUGAAUGAGCCGAUGCCGGAUUAGCCAGUUGGCGGGGUAAAGGCCCACCAAGGCGACGAUCCGUAGCUGGUCUGAGAGGAUGAUCAGCCACACUGGAACUGAGACACGGUCCAGACUCCUACGGGAGGCAGCAGUGGGGAAUAUUGGACAAUGGGCGCAAGCCUGAUCCAGCCAUACCGCGUGGGUGAAGAAGGCCUUCGGGUUGUAAAGCCCUUUUGUUGGGAAAGAAAAGCAGCAGGUUAAUACCCCGCUGUUCUGACGGUACCCAAAGAAUAAGCACCGGCUAACUUCGUG